UACGUAGGGUGCGAGCGUUGCCCGGAUUUAUUGGGCGUAAAGAGCGUGUAGGCGGCCAGGUAGGUCUGCUGUGAAAACUCGAGGCUCAACCUCGAGACGUCGGCGGAAACCAUCUGGCUAGAGUCCGGAAGAGGAGAGUGGAAUUCCUGGUGUAGCGGUGAAAUGCGCAGAUAUCAGGAAGAACACUCGUGGCGAAGGCGGCUCUCUGGGACGGUACUGACGCUGAGACGCGAAAGCGUGGGGAGCGAACAGG
rnacentral:rRNA from 1 species